rnacentral:rRNA from 1 species
CCUACGGGGGGCAGCAGUGGGGAAUAUUGGGCAAUGGGCGCAAGCCUGACCCAGCAACGCCGCGUGAAGGAAGAAGGCUUUCGGGUUGUAAACUUCUUUAGACAGGGACGAAACAAAUGACGGUACCUGUAGAAUAAGCCACGGCUAACUACGUGCCAGCAGCCGCGGUAAUACGUAGGUGGCGAGCGUUAUCCGGAUUUACUGGGUGUAAAGGGCGUGUAGGCGGUUUGAUAAGCCAGAUGUGAAAUCUCCCGGCUUAACUGGGAGGGUGCAUCUGGAACUGUCAGACUUGAGUGAUGGAGGGGAAAGCGGAAUUCCUAGUGUAGCGGUAAAAUGCGUAGAUAUUAGGAGGAACACCGGUGGCGAAGGCGGCUUUCUGGACAUUAACUGACGCUGAGGCGCGAAAGCGUGGGGAGCAAACAGGAUUAGAUACCCGGGUAGUC